rfam:Candidatus Daviesbacteria bacterium RIFCSPHIGHO2_02_FTLL_41_10 rifcsphigho2_02_scaffold_804, whole genome shotgun sequence.
GCCGAAGUGGCUCAGUGGUAGAGCAGUACUUUCGUAAAGUACGGGUCGUGGGUUCGAUUCCCACCUUCGGCU